rnacentral:misc_RNA from 1 species
GUCGAGGCAAUGGUUCGCACGGUAGACGAGCUGGGACCGUACGCGGUCAUAGCUCCGGGCGUGGCGAUACCGCACGCACGCCCUGAAGACGGGGCGUUGAGAGCAGGCGUCAGCUUGGCGACGUUAAGGCAGCCAGUCGAAUUCGGAGCCGAAGAGAACGAUCCGGUUGAUCUACUCUUCGGCUUCGCAACGACAGACGCCGAUGCUCACGUCGAGCUAAUGCAAGCAUUAGCUAACUUCCUAGGCGAAGAGGAUAACCUAGAGAAACUGCGAGAGGCGCGCACGGCGCAAGACGCGCUCGAAGUGCUCAGGAGCGAGUGAGGCACGGUGAGACUCUGUGUUGUUCAACGGUGGAAAAGCUUAAGGCUCUCGGGCCAGCGUACUUGGCGUGUGAGCAGAGCGCCACGGUGGGGAUGUAGCACGAGUGAGCGUUGAA